UUGUAAAAGCUUCACCCAAAUCCUUUUUGAGAGAAGUCUCGACCACUGCACACGGUGGUGCUUUUCACCCUGACCUCUAACUGUGAUGACCAGGUAACUAGAUCGAAUCCUAAACUAGAUCUAGACUCGUUCUAAAAUAAAAUCGCACUCCCUCGUUAAAUCGAAACGACCCCCUUAAGCGUCUAAACUUCGACCCAUCAAAACCCCGACUCCGACGGUCGAUAAUACGGCGACAAUCUCUGGGAGUUCGGGAAACCAGCAAUGACGAGGAAGGCUUGCUGGCAGUCGUCGUGGAGGAGAGGACCAGUGUUGUGCUUGGCAUCAGUGAUAAUUUACACGAACCGUUGCCGGUGGGGACCAAAUGUGGCGCGUGACGGAGUGGAUGGUACUGACGUCGGGUACACGCGCCUGAAGAUGCUAUUUCCUGGUGUUUGGAUCGUUGGAUGGAGAGUGUUAGAUCCAAUGGUUGUUCCUCGAGCGGCAGCAACUCCUUUCAUCUGUUAGGGUUUUUAGUAACCCUAGAGUUUUUGGGCUUGUUGGAUAAACAGGCCUCAACCUAGUUUGGGUUUUGUGUUAAGAGCUAUGUAAAUGGGAUUUUGGUAACGGGUUCGAAUGGAUUAAUUGAUUUGGGUUCAA